CAAGGGUACAGACAAUGCUGUAGAACAAAGGCUUUCAAAAAAUGUUUCCAGACCUGACCUCAACUGGCUGACUAUCCUGACAAUGGACAGCCGUGAACAUCUAUACAAGACAAAUGAAGGGGACAAGGCCCUGUCUCUGAAGCAACACUUCCCUCUCCCCGAAUCAACUAAGGGAUGACAAAUUGCCAUAGGCUUAUCACAGAAGCCUAAGAGAAGCUGUGCUUGCAUUUCUUUCUAUUUUCUCUCCUAUGUCUCCUCCUUCUUUGUUUAAAUAUCCCUGAGAUAACACUGCAGUGUAAACUAAGGAGAAAGAUGUGGCUGAAGGCUUUCGUUGGUGUGCAAUGAG